GGAGUAUCGUGAAACAUACACUUGAUCUUAAUGUAUUCUUUUUCCUACGAUUAUAAGCAUUUUUUCCCACUGGGUUUUUGCUACCUAACAAGGUUUUGAUAAGGCACCCAUCAUAGGAUGAUCAUACUCCGUUGAGUUCACUACUUUCAUCCUAUUUGACGUGUAUUUUAGACAUUAUGUAUACUUCUCACUUUUCUCUUUAGUCUAUGGGUUUUCACCUACCUCAUGUUUUACUGUAGCGAGGUUUUAUGAGUUUUACAGCCUAUGCAUACUUUAAAUUUGAGACUCGCAUUCACUCGUUGUGCCGAUGACUUCAUCAACUGUUCUACCUUAUUUGCUGAAGAUCUGAUGCGAUGUUUUGUUUAAGUAUUUACACACUCAAGGGGGAGUGUUGCAACCUUAUUAUAUUAGGAAUGUGAUUGUGUAAAUCCUAGUGUAUCUAUGUGUAUCUUUGUAUAUUCCCUUUAGUAGUUAAAUUCCUAUUAGAGUUGUAAUCAUAUUAGGGUAAAGAUUUAACAUAUCCUACUACUAUAAAUAAAGACACAAUGAGGUGAUACAACACACACCUCAUAAGUACAUCUCUCUCUUCUCUCUCUCUUAUUGCCGGCCUCUCCCUUUCUUAUUCUAAAUACAAUUAAGCAAAUUAGGCCUACAACAGUUUAAUGAUAGGAGCAUAUUU
rnacentral:lncRNA from 1 species